rnacentral:lncRNA from 1 species
GCCAGCUUUGCAAUGUUCUUUUCAGCAGGAAAUUAUUUCAUUUUGAUAUUACAACCUGUCCAAAUUCCAAUAAUUUUAAAGCCUUGAAAUAUACAGAGAUCCAUCAAAAUUAAGAUUACCCUUUUAAAAAGAGGUGUAAUGCAACAGUACUUCACUCUUAAUUGUCUGGUGGGAUGUUUAAUAUGUGGGAGUGUUUGGACCAAUAAGCUCAUGAAUGGCUAAGUAAACGGAACACGAAGCAUAUAAUAUCCAUUGCACUGGCCACAGACCAGCAAAUUAAUGGGUUACACAACAUGUUCCAUCGUCUCAUGACUUCCAGAGAAAGAAGGACCCAGGUGGAGGAACUAUAAAGUCAAGGCAAUCUUGGUUCAUGUCAACCCUGUUUCACAAACUUAACUCUUGUAUUUAUUUCUGCUGUGAGCUUUGGCUGGGUUGUCAGCAUUAUGCAACAUUACUGUGGCAGACUGUUGAGAGACAAUAACUUCAAAGACAGUAAAUCUUUAAAAGGACAGAGGAAAACACUAAUGCUAUACAUGCUGUUUGAGUGUUUAUAGCUUUGCUUUUUUUUUUUUUUAAAUUCUGUUUUGCAGAAAAACUGUUGGGAAUACUUACACAACUGCCAUCCUGCUUUUAAAAAGAAAACGGAUUUCUUAGUUUCUCCUUUCUUGUUUUUCCCCUUUCUUGAUCAAGAGGUAGACAAGUUAUGUUUCUGUCAGGGGCCUGUUUUAAAAGCAUCUGGUGAACUGUGUGGACAGGGGAAUAAAAGGCCAUGAUAAACUACUUAAUACAAAAUAAAAUGUAUAAUUUGCAUGGGGAUGAUUUCCAGCGAGCAGAGUCAUUGCAUGAUGCACAUCUUGUUGCUAAAGAUCAUCAGGUUAUGACAGAUACGAUGCUGUAUGUCUUCACCCUUCUGGAUCAGCAAUGUAUUUGCACUGUGCAAUGGGGGAAAAACAGCCAAAGCAGAGUCAGCUUUGGGGCUCUUAAGCCAAAACAUACAACGUAG